rnacentral:rRNA from 1 species
AGUGAACGCUGGCGGUAGGCCUAACACAUGCAAGUCGAACGGCAGCACAGUAAGAGCUUGCUCUUACGGGUGGCGAGUGGCGGACGGGUGAGGAAUACAUCGGAAUCUACUUUUUCGUGGGGGAUAACGUAGGGAAACUUACGCUAAUACCGCAUACGACCUACGGGUGAAAGCAGGGGAUCUUCUGACCUUGCGCGAUUGAAUGAGCCGAUGUCGGAUUAGCUAGUUGGCGGGGUAAAGGCCCACCAAGGCGACGAUCCGUAGCUGGUCUGAGAGGAUGAUCAGCCACACUGGAACUGAGACACGGUCCAGACUCCUACGGGAGGCAGCAGUGGGGAAUAUUGGACAAUGGGCGCAAGCCUGAUCCAGCCAUACCGCGUGGGUGAAGAAGGCCUCCGGGUUGUAAAGCCCUUUUGUUGGGAAAGAAAAGCAGCAGGUUAAUACCCCGCUGUUCUGACGGUACCCAAAGAAUAAGCACCGGCUAACUUCGUG